rnacentral:rRNA from 1 species
AGAGUUUGAUCCUGGCUCAGGACGAACGCUGGCGGCGUGCUUAACACAUGCAAGUCACGGGGGGGUCGCAAGACUCAACCGUUCGAACGGGUGCGUAACACGUGAACAACCUGCCCUCGUGUGGGGGAUAGCCGGGCUAACGCCCGGGUAAUACCGCAUACGUUCUCUUGGGGGAGUCCCCGGGAGAGGAAAGCUCUGGCGCACGGGGAGGGGUUCGCGGCCUAUCAGCUAGUUGGCGGGGUAACGGCCCACCAAGGCGACGACGGGUAGCUGGUCUGAGAGGAUGGCCAGCCACAUUGGGACUGAGAGACGGCCCAGACUCCUACGGGAGGCAGCAGUGGGGAAUCUUGCGCAAUGGUCGAAAGACUGACGCAGCGACGCCGCGUGUGGGAGGACGCCUUUCGGGGUGUAAACCACUGUUGCCCGGGACGAACUUCUGGUUUCGACCAGACUGACGGUACCGGGUGAGGAAGCACCGGCUAACUCCGUGCCAGCAGCCGCGGUAAUACGGAGGGUGCGAGCGUUGUCCGGAAUCAUUGGGCGUAAAGGGCGCGUAGGUGGCCCGGUCAGUCUUUGGUGAAAGCGCGGGGCUCAACCCUGCGUCGGCCAGGGAUACUGCCGCGGCUCGAGCACUGUAGAGGCAGGCGGAAUUCCGGGUGUAGCGGUGGAAUGCG